rnacentral:tRNA from 1 species
GGGGUUGUGGCUUAGAGGUAGAGCACUCGCGUACCAUGUGUGAGGCACUGGGUUCGAUCCUCAGCACCACA